AGACUCCUACGGGAGGCAGCAGUGAGGAAUAUUGGACAAUGGGCGAGAGCCUGAUCCAGCCAUGCCGCGUGCAGGAUGACUGCCCUAUGGGUUGUAAACUGCUUUUAUAUAGGAAGAAACCUUUCCACGUGUGGAAAGCUGACGGUACUAUAAGAAUAAGGAUCGGCUAACUCCGUGCCAGCAGCCGCGGUAAUACGGAGGAUCCAAGCGUUAUCCGGAAUCAUUGGGUUUAAAGGGUCCGUAGGUGGAUAAUUAAGUCAGAGGUGAAAUCCUGCAGCUCAACUGUAGAAUUGCCUUUGAUACUGGUUAUCUUGAAUUAUUGUGAAGUGGUUAGAAUAUGUAGUGUAGCGGUGAAAUGCAUAGAUAUUACAUAGAAUACCAAUUGCGAAGGCAGAUCACUAACAAUAUAUUGACACUGAUGGACGAAAGCGUGGGGAGCGAACAGGAUUAGAUACCCUGGUAGUCCACGCCGUAAACGAUGGUCACUAGCUGUUCGAACUUCGGUUUGAGUGGCUAAGAGAAAUUGAUAAGUGACCCACCUGGGGAGUACGUUCGCAAGAAUGAAACUCAAAGGAAUUGACGGGGGCCCGCACAAGAAGC
rnacentral:rRNA from 1 species